UACGUAGGGGGCAAGCGUUAUCCGGAUUUACUGGGUGUAAAGGGAGCGUAGACGGCAGAGCAAGUCUGAAGUGAAAGCCCGCGGCCCAACUGCGGGACUGCUUUGGAAACUGCCCGGCUAGAGUGCUGGAGAGGUAAGUGGAAUUCCUAGUGUAGCGGUGAAAUGCGUAGAGAUUAGGAAGAACACCAGUGGCGAAGGCGACUUACUGGACUGUAACUGACGCUGAGGCAUGAGAGCAUGGGGAGCAAACAGG
rnacentral:rRNA from 1 species